UACGAAGGGGGCGAGCGUUGUUCGGAUUUACUGGGCGUAAAGGGCGCGUAGGCGGCCCUCCUUGUCGCGUGUGAAAGCCCCGGGCUCAACCUGGGAAUUGCGCGCGAAACGGGGGGGCUUGAGUUCGGGAGAGGAGCGUGGAAUUCCUGGUGUAGCGGUGAAAUGCGCAGAUAUCAGGAAGAACACCCGUGGCUAAGGCGGCUCUCUAGUACGGUACUGACGCUGAGACGCGAAAGCGUGGGGAGCGAACAGG
rnacentral:rRNA from 1 species